UACAGAGGUCUCGAGCGUUGUUCGGAUUCAUUGGGCGUAAAGGGUGCGUAGGUGGCGCCGUAAGUCGGGUGUGAAAUUUCGGAGCUUAACUCCGAAACUGCAUUCGAUACUGCGGUGCUUGAGGACUGGAGAGGAGACUGGAAUUCAUGGUGUAGCAGUGAAAUGCGUAGAGAUCAUGAGGAAGACCAGUGGCGAAGGCGGGUCUCUGGACAGUUCCUGACACUGAGGCGCGAAAGCGUGGGGAGCAAACAGG
rnacentral:rRNA from 1 species